AGAGUUUGAUCAUGGCUCAGAUUGAACGCUGGCGGCAGGCCUAACACAUGCAAGUCGAGCGGCAGCGGGAAAGUAGCUUGCUACUUUUGCCGGCGAGCGGCGGACGGGUGAGUAAUGCCUGGGGAUCUGCCCAGUCGAGGGGGAUAACAGUUGGAAACGACUGCUAAUACCGCAUACGCCCUACGGGGGAAAGGAGGGGACCUUCGGGCCUUUCGCGAUUGGAUGAACCCAGGUGGGAUUAGCUAGUUGGUGGGGUAAUGGCUCACCAAGGCGACGAUCCCUAGCUGGUCUGAGAGGAUGAUCAGCCACACUGGAACUGAGACACGGUCCAGACUCCUACGGGAGGCAGCAGUGGGGAAUAUUGCACAAUGGGGGAAACCCUGAUGCAGCCAUGCCGCGUGUGUGAAGAAGGCCUUCGGGUUGUAAAGCACUUUCAGCGAGGAGGAAAGGUUGGUCGCUAAUAACGGCCAACUGUGACGUUACUCGCAGAAGAAGCACCGGCUAACUCCGUGCCAGCAGCCGCGGUA
rnacentral:rRNA from 1 species